rnacentral:rRNA from 1 species
ACUCAAAUGAAUAGACGGGGGCCCGCACAAGCAGUGGAGUAUGUGGUUUAAUUCGAAGCAACGCGAAGAACCUUACCAGGGCUUGACAUGCAGGUGAAUAGUGCAGAGAUGUACUAGUCCUUCGGGACGCCUGUGCAGGUGGUGCAUGGUUGUCGUCAGCUCGUGUCGUGAGAUGUUGGGUUAAGUCCCGCAACGAGCGCAACCCUUGUCGUUAGUUGCCAGCAUGAAAGAUGGGCACUCUAGCGAGACUGCCGGUGACAAAUCGGAGGAAGGUGGGGACGACGUCAAAUCAUCAUGCCCCUUAUGUCCUGGGCUACACACGUACUACAAUGGCUAUAACAGCAGGAUGCGAAAGAGUAAUCUGGAGCGAAUCCUCAAAAAUAGUCCCAGUUCAGAUUGUGGGCUGCAACCCGCCCACAUGAAGUCGGAAUUGCUAGUAAUGGCAGGUCAGCAUACUGCCGUGAAUACGUUCCCGGGCCUUGUACACACCGCCCGU